UUGUCAAGUGUAUCAAAAACACAUAUAGGCAAUAACUAUUUGCAACUAGAUACAAAUACAUUUCUGUUGCAGAUUUAUAUAAGUGCUCAUAUCCAUAUCCGGCGUUGCUCGGCUACUUUUAUUCUGAUUGAACCAAUCGCUCUCAGUUGGUCGCGAAUGAGGCAGAGAUGUCAGUCAGCUUUAUCAAUUCUGAACUUAAUUGAAUUAAAAUAUAUUUUUUUAAAUAAAAUAAACCUCGUUGUUGACAUGCCUUAA